rnacentral:rRNA from 1 species
UACAGAGGUCUCAAGCGUUGUUCGGAUUCAUUGGGCGUAAAGGGUGCGUAGGUGGCGAGGCAAGUCGGAUGUGAAAUCCCGGGGCUCAACCCCGGAACUGCAUUCGAUACUGCCCUGCUCGAGUACUGGAGAGGAGAUCGGAAUUUACGGUGUAGCAGUGAAAUGCGUAGAUAUCGUGAGGAAGACCAGUGGCGAAGGCGGGUCUCUGGACAGUUCCUGACACUGAGGCACGAAGGCCAGGGGAGCAAACGGG